UUGAACGCUGGCGGCAGGCCUAACACAUGCAAGUCGAGCGGAUGAAGGGAGCUUGCUCCUGGAUUCAGCGGCGGACGGGUGAGUAAUGCCUAGGAAUCUGCCUGGUAGUGGGGGAUAACGUCCGGAAACGGGCGCUAAUACCGCAUACGUCCUGAUGGAGAAAGUGGGGGAUCUUCGGACCUCACGCUAUCAGAUGAGCCUAGGUCGGAUUAGCUAGUUGGUGGGGUAAAGGCCUACCAAGGCGACGAUCCGUAACUGGUCUGAGAGGAUGAUCAGUCACACUGGAACUGAGACACGGUCCAGACUCCUACGGGAGGCAGCAGUGGGGAAUAUUGGACAAUGGGCGAAAGCCUGAUCCAGCCAUGCCGCGUGUGUGAAGAAGGUCUUCGGAUUGUAAAGCACUUUAAGUUGGGAGGAAGGGCAGUAAGUUAAUACCUUGCUGUUUUGACGUUACCAACAGAAUAAGCACCGGCUAACUUCGUG
rnacentral:rRNA from 1 species